CUUAACUAGACUGUAUCACUGUGGUUCACGUUUGGUGGAGGGACCAAACUGCUGCUGAGAACUGGUCCUACUGUCAGUCCUACAGUGUCUCUGCUCCCCCCCUCAUCUGAGCAGCUCUCUGGGGACUCUGCCUCACUGGCCUGUCUGCUGACUGACUACUCCCCUCAGGGGGCGCUGGUGAGCUGGGAGGUGGAUGGGCUGGAGGUGAGCCAGGGGGUCGUGACCAGUCCAGAAGAAGAGAAGAAAGGCCUUUACAGACGCAGCAGCAUCCUGACCCUGAGCAAGGCAGGCUGGGAGCAGGGAGAGCUCUACACCUGCAGGGUCUCCCACUUCCAACACACCCAGGCCUCCCCCCUUCGUAGGAGCCAGUGUCUGGUCUAGGGCCUACUGGAGGAGGCCCACAACAGGAGCUCUGUCUGGGGAAGCAGGAGUAGACGAGGCUCUGGUCUGGUCUGGGGCCUGGUUGGAGCAGUAGUAGUGUGUUAGAGUCGUGUACUGAGUAAACUCUAGUACUGCUGGGGAGACCACAGUCCUGGUAGUAAUGUGUAUUGUAUAGAUUACAGGAGACUUCAAUGUGUUCUGUACUCAGACUGUUACUGUGAUGUUGCUGUCUGUCUCAGUUCUAAUAAAGUUGGAUUUGGAAAAUAA